rnacentral:lncRNA from 1 species
GAUAUGAUGUUAUUCGGAUGAAAGGAGAUGUUAUUCUGAUGGAUGGAAAGUACAAUCUCUUUUCUAUUCAUAGAUGCGAAGGGAUGAGUAUGAUUGGAUACUUAAACACUCUUUCUGUAGAUAUAUAUAAUCCAUCCAUUCAUCAAAAAUUAUAUCUCUUGGAAUCACCAUCGAAUUGAAUGCAUCUAUUCAUUAGAAUGCG